GAUGAAGAACGUAGCGAAAUGCGAUACGUAAUGUGAAUGGCAGAAUUCAGUGAAUCAUCGAGUCUUUGAACGCACAUUGCGCCCCCUGGUAUUCCGGGGGGCAUGCCUGUCCGAGCGUCAUUGCUGCCCUCAAGCACGGCUUGUGUGUUGGGCCUCCGUCCUCCUCCCGGGGGACGGGCCCGAAAGGCAGCGGCGGCACCGCGUCCGGUCCUCGAGCGUAUGGGGCUUCGUCACCCGCUCUUGUAGGCCCGGCCGGCGCUUGCCGACACAUCAAUCUUUUUUCCAGGUUGACCUCGGAUCAGGUAGGGAUACCCGCUGAACUUAAGCAUAUCAAUAAGCGGAGGA
rnacentral:misc_RNA from 1 species